rnacentral:lncRNA from 1 species
UGUCCAUGUUUAGUUGCUUCAUUUUAUUUUAUGCUUUUCCUUCCAUUUCUUCUUUUUAUGUCAAGACCACAAAAGUGAAUAAAAAACUCUAUUAGAGACCAAUCAUUUUAACAAAAAAAAAAAAAAGCACCCUUCUGAAAAUCAAAAUACUAAUCAUGUCAUUGUCGGAGAACGACAUGAUCAAGGUCACUGUUGAAGAAUUACAAGGUCAUAAUAACUAGACUGGCUUGUACUUAUUUGGAGGCAUUGGAC